UUCUAUUUCUUUUCUUUCUUCCGUUUAUCACACAAUGACAGAGCUCUCAGCUCUCACAGACAGCGCUCAAACUCUCAUCCUCCACGAAGGCCUUAGCUUCACCGAUUCCCAUCAUCCUCAUCCACAAGCUCUCACCGAUUCAUCAACCUCCUCACCGCCGCCACCGAAGCUCACGCACCAUUGCCGAAGCUCACGCAUCAUCGCCGACCCACGCACCAUCGCCGACCCGAUUCAUCAUCCUCCUCACCCACUUCGAAGCCCAGCUCAUCUCUGCCGAAGCCGCCGCUGCCUUUCUCAGCCCAUUGCUUUGGUUUUCUGCCGAUCUUAGGGCAUAGAGCUCAGUAACCCGCAGGCUCAUGCCCACCAGCUUGGCAGUGGAAUUCAAAGAUCAAGCGGACCUGAAGCGUUUUAUGCUGCUUUCCUCUCUUCAGUCUGUGUACAUUGAAUGAUGCUAGUUUGAGGAAUAUGAUAAAAGGAAACUCUUGUCAUAAGAUUUUUCCCUUGGCAUAAGGUGGCAAAUCAACCUGAACUACAAGUAACUUCAAUAUUCAACAUUAGCUAGUGUUUAACCCAAAAUGUAAACAUAUUGAGAGAUUUCUUUUUCCAGAGUGAUUGAAAUUACAUGAAAAAGAGUGUUGAAGCACAUCUUUUUUCUUUGUUGGUUGAAAUGACUUUUCCUAUUGAGAUUAGGCUUGAACUUAUUAAGGAAAGGAUAGGAAAAUGAUUCGAUUAAAAGAUUACAAACAGAUCUCACUAAUCAUGCCUUAGUGAGUAUCUUUUUAAGAAUUAAAUUUGUACAUUAUGUCAAUUGCAAGGCGAGUCAUAGGAACUUCUUUUUUUAUAUUUUGAGAAGCAUGAGUCAUAGGAACUUGUGCGAGUGUGUGAGUUUUAUUGUAAUUUGAUUUGAGUUAUGUAUAUGAAUAAUCUAUUGAUUACAUUGUUCCAGUUAUAAUAUGUGUUCUCUUUUAUAUGUUUUUUU